AGAGCAGGGCAGCAGGUUCACCUCCUGUCUCCCUGGAAAUGCGCCUGGCUUCACUUUCCUCUGACCAUCCGCAACUUGUCGAUGUUCCUUCACCACGUAUGAGUGUGGUUUCCCUCCAACAGCCGGCCACUGGUGUCCAGGAACAGGGAUCCACUGCUGAGCGUUCUGAUGGUACUCUCCCCCUGCAAGAGGAGGG